UUCAAGAUCAAUUAAUUUUCAGCAAGACACUGAAAUUUCAUCUUUUCCCUAAUGAUUUCAGAAAAAUACUACCACGAUAAGUAGACUACAUAAAAAUGAACGAAGAGUGUGCAUACAUGAAUGAAUAAAUCCAGGUGAGUUUUUCCAUCAUACAAAAUCAAUUCAGCUUGAACUCCCACUCUGUGAAGUGUAUCUACAAAUGCUUUGCUGCAGAGUACGAGCAAGUUCAACAUGUUAUUAUACAAGGUCGCACUCAAAUGCGAUAGCCAUUCUUUAAGUAAUCCAUUAAAGUAAAAGUGGUGGGUCAUCAUUGCCCUUCAGAAGGAGUUCAGACCUUG
rnacentral:lncRNA from 1 species